UUACUGCUGAAGAGUCCCAAACUAGGACGAAAUAGCUGUCCAGUAC
rnacentral:hammerhead_ribozyme from 1 species